rnacentral:rRNA from 1 species
UUGGGUUGUAAACCCCUUUUCUCAGGGAAGAAGAAAGUGACGGUACCUGAGGAAUCAGCCUCGGCUAACUCCGUGCCAGCAGCCGCGGUAAUACGGAGGAGGCAAGCGUUAUCCGGAAUGAUUGGGCGUAAAGCGUUCGUAGGUGGCCAUUCAAGUCUGCUGUCAAAGACAGUAGCUCAACUACUGCNAGGCAGUGGAAACUGAAUAGCUAGAGUGCGGUAGGGGCAGAGGGAAUUCCCGGUGUAGCGGUGAAAUGCGUAGAGAUCGGGAAGAACACCGGUGGCGAAAGCGCUCUGCUGGGCCGCAACUGACACUGAGGGACGAAAGCUAGGGGAGCGAAUGGGAUUAGAUACCCCAGUAGUCCUAGCUGUAAACGAUGGAAACUAGGUGUUGCCUGUAUCGACCCAGGCAGUGCCGUAGCUAACGCGUUAAGUUUCCCGCCUGGGGAGUACGCACGCAAGUGUGAAACUCAAAGGAAUUGACGGGGGCCCGCACAAGCGGUGGAGUAUGUGGUUAAAUUCGAUGCAACGCGAAGAACCUUACCAGGGCUUGACAUGUCCGGAAUUCUGGGGAAACUCGGAAGUGCCUUCGGGAACCGGAACACAGGUGGUGCAUGGCUGUCGUCAGCUCGUGUCGUGAGAUGUUGGGUUAAGUCCCGCAACGAGCGCAACCCUCGUUUUUAGUUGCCAUCAUUAAGUUGGGCACUCUAGAGAGACUGCCGGUGACAAACCGGAGGAAGGUGGGGAUGACGUCAAGUCAUCAUGCCCCUUACGUCCUGGGCUACACACGUACUACAAUGGUAAGGACAGAGGGCAGCCACUUCGCGAGGAGGAGCUAAUCCCGUAAACCUUGCCUCAGUUCAGAUUGCAGGCUGCAACUCGCCUGCAUGAAGGAGGAAUCGCUAGUAAUCGCAGGUCAGCAUACUGCGGUGAAUCCGUUCCCGGGCCUUGUACACACCCCCCGUCACACCAUGGAAGUUAGCCAUCCCCGAAGUCAUUACUC